rnacentral:rRNA from 1 species
UACGUAGGUCCCGAGCGUUGUCCGGAUUUAUUGGGCGUAAAGCGAGCGCAGGUGGUUUAAUAAGUCUGAUGUAAAAGGCAGUGGCUCAACCAUUGUGUGCAUUGGAAACUGUUAGACUUGAGUGCAGUAGAGGAGAGUGGAAUUCCAUGUGUAGCGGUGAAAUGCGUUGAUAUAUGGAGGAACACCGGUGGCGAAAGCGGCUCUCUGGACUGUCACUGACACUGAGGCUCGAAAGCGUGGGUAGCAAACAGG